GCCUAAGCUAAAGGAUUUGGCCGGUGUGUUGAGGCCCCAGGUUAAUGGUUAAUGUUUGUUAAUCAGCCAAAAAUGUUGUUGCACUCACCCCUUCUCACAAAGAAUGUUCAUUCAGAAAUUGGGAAAUUUGCCACAAUAU